rnacentral:rRNA from 1 species
GUAGAGAUGUGGAGGAACACCAGUGGCGAAGGCGACUCUCUGGUCUGUAACUGACGCUGAGGAGCGAAAGCGUGGGGAGCGAACAGGAUUAGAUACCCUGGUAGUCCACGCCGUAAACGAUGAGUGCUAAGUGUUAGGGGGUUUCCGCCCCUUAGUGCUGCAGCUAACGCAUUAAGCACUCCGCCUGGGGAGUACGGUCGCAAGACUGAAACUCAAAGGAAUUGACGGGGGCCCGCACAAGCGGUGGAGCAUGUGGUUUAAUUCGAAGCAACGCGAAGAACCUUACCAGGUCUUGACAUCCUCUGACAAUCCUAGAGAUAGGACGUCCCCUUCGGGGGCAGAGUGACAGGUGGUGCAUGGUUGUCGUCAGCUCGUGUCGUGAGAUGUUGGGUUAAGUCCCGCAACGAGCGCAACCCUUGAUCUUAGUUGCCAGCAUUCAGUUGGGCACUCUAAGGUGACUGCCGGUGACAAACCGGAGGAAGGUGGGGAUGACGUCAAAUCAUCAUGCCCCUUAUGACCUGGGCUACACACGUGCUACAAUGGGCAGAACAAAGGGCAGCGAAACCGCGAGGUUAAGCCAAUCCCACAAAUCUGUUCUCAGUUCGGAUCGCAGUCUGCAACUCGACUGCGUGAAGCUGGAAUCGCUA